UUAGAAUAUAUUUAAAGGUAAUACCUGCUCAAUGUAAUUUAUCAAUAGCUGCGGUAUCCUAACUGCACUAAGGUAGCAUAAUUAAUUGUCUUUUAAAUGGUGACUUGUUUGAAUGGUUUUAUGAGAAAAACAUUUUCUUUAAUUUUAAUAGAAUUUAUAUUUUGCGGUUAAAAUACCCAUGUAUAAAAGAAAGACGAGAAGACCCUGUUGAGUUUAACAAUUUUUUUGUUAAAAUGGGAUAUUUAAUUUUUCUUUAAUAUUUUUUAGAUCCUGAAUUUUCAUUUGGAAAAAGGAUAAAAUUACCACAGGGAUAACAGGACUAUAUUUACUGAGAGUUCUAAUUGAAGUAAAUGUUUGUUACCUCGAUGUUGAAUCGGAAUUUCUCACUGGUGCAGAAGUUAGAUGAGUAGGUCUGUUCGACCUUUAAAAUUUCACGUGAUU
rnacentral:rRNA from 1 species